UAGAAACUUAAUUUAUGGAAAUAUUAAAACAGACAUCAAACAAAUCAAGAAUUAAAAAAGUCCUCAGCUUACAUCAGAAUCAAUUUACGGCAAUGUUGGACUGGAACCUGGUCAUAAGUCAAAGACUACCUUUAUACAAUAUUUGGACUCUUUAUGGAGUUAAUCCUCUUGAAAAUAAUAGAUAUUUGAUCAUAUCUAGCUGGACAUUUAUUUAUUAAAAUGAUAUAUCAUAUAUGUGAUAUGGAUGAAUGAAAGAAAUGAAUAGACAAAGCUGUAAACCUUAAAAUGUUGAUAAGUUUUUUAAAUAUUCAAACAUUGCUUCAGCUAAAGAAAGGAAAUUAAGAAAUGCUAUUAGAUUAUUAAUUGAAAAACUUUAUACAGGAAUACCUUGCUUAAUGCAGCUUCACUCAGUGCUGACCCGCUAUAGUAUGGUUAAUAAUUUGAGGAAUAAAUUUCAAUUAGUAUGGAUUGAUUCACUAUUAUGCGGUUUGUAAAAAUUUUGCACCAAAAUGUUCCCACUAAAAUAUUGUAUAGUAUAGGCAAUAAAACAGUAUUUUCACUCAGAUUUCUGA
rnacentral:lncRNA from 1 species